CCGACUGAGGGGCUUGGUUUCGCGGAGCCUCCUCUAGGCCAGCAGAGGAUCCGCCCACCCAUGAGUCAGAGGAUUUUGCGAGGUCUACUAGAAUGACAGCUCAAACCUGUCCACGUCAACACCAGAGAACCACUAUGGAGAUCGCGUCUUUGGAACCCUCGCUGUACACAGUGAAAGCGGUCUUCAUUCUGGAUAACGAUGGCGAUAGACUUCUAUCAAAGUACUACGACACAGAGCUCUACCCCUCCAUGAAGGAGCAGAAGAACUUUGAAAAGAACGUUUUCAACAAGACACACAAAGCUGACACAGAUGAAAUUGCCUUCGUGGAGGGGAUGACGAUCGUGUAUAAGUGCAGCAUCGACCUAUUCUUCUACGUGGUGGGCAGUGCACAGGAGAAUGAGCUCAUGCUCAUGGCUGUGCUGAACUGUCUGUUUGAGUCCCUCAGUCAAAUCCUAAGGAAAAAUGUGGAGAGAAGGUGUCUAUUGGACAACAUGGACGGAGUCUUCUUGGUAGUGGACGAAAUUAUUGACGGGGGGGAUGGAGUUGGGAGUUACUGGUACACUAUCUUGUGUUCUCUUAAUGACCGCCCUUACCGUCGUGUUACCAGGGUGAUCUUGGAAAGCGACCCCCAACAGGUCAUCCAGAAGGUCAAUUACAGGCUGGAUGGUUCAGAGCAAGCCUACGGCUUCGACCUCUUUGAUUACAUCGUUGGUAACAUUGAUGGACAGACGGACAGAAGCCAGUGUGCAUAGCAACAGACUGCCCCUACAACCAGAGAUGACGGGCGGAUGAGAACCCACUGUCAGAGCAGAGCGUGGCUCAGAUAAUGCAGUCUGCCAAAGAACAAAUAAAGUGGUCAAUACUCAAAUGAUCUACACUGCCUGUCCAAAGGUCUUACAGUAAUGGACAGUACGAAUUUAUGUGUAAAUAUUAAGGGGUGUAUUUAGCGUUUAUGCUUAAAUAGACUAUAUUUAUAGUAAUUAGUGGCAAAUACAGCGUUUUUCCUAUGACGGCAAGAAGACAUUUUAUAUUUAUUAUAUUGGAAAUAAUCUGUUUAAUUUAUUUGAUUUGCAAUAAAAAAAUCUGAAGAAUUAUGCUAGAUUAUAGCAUAUGAUUUUGUUAAUUUCCCUUAACCCACACAAAAUGCUCUGUAAAGAAUGUUUUAACCUAACCAAGAGAACUGAAUGUUGUUUUAAUGUGCGCAGGCCUACACAACUAGGGGAACUGUUGCUUAGGCUUCAAUGAUUAUGAAGUUAAGUUACAGAGAACUUUAAACAUGACGUUUUGAUAUACUACAUCUCAAAGCGUUGUAAGUUUAACAGAAAAAAAGGCAAUAGCCUGUGUAUUGUUACAGUAGUUCAGUUUCUAGUUGUUAGUUUUGUUGAUUUAUAUUGCCAUCUGUUUUCUCAUUCGAGUCUGCCUGUUGUCAAGCUAAUUAAACUAUAUUAUUUGUA